rnacentral:rRNA from 1 species
UGGGGAAUUGUUCGCAAUGGGCGCAAGCCUGACGACGCAACGCCGCGUGGAGGAUGAAGAUCUUCGGGCCGUAAACUCCUGUCGAGCGGGACGAAUGCUUUGCGGCUGAAUAAUCCGCAGAGGUGACGGUACCGCUAAAGGAGGCCCCGGCUAACUCCGUG